rnacentral:rRNA from 1 species
GACGAACGCUGGCGGCGUGCCUAAUACAUGCAAGUCGACCUUAGUGGCGAAUGGGUGAGUAACACGUGGGUAACCUGCCCAUCAGAAGGGGAUAACACUUGGAUACAGGCGCCAAUACCGUAUACUGAUGGAUGGACCCGCGGUGCAUUAGCGAGUUGGUGGGGUAACGGCCCACCAAGGCCACGAUGCAUAGCCGACCGGAGAGGGUGAUCGGCCACAUUGGGACUGAGACACGGCCCAAACUCCUACGGGAGGCAGCAGUGGGGAAUAUUGGACAAUGGGCGAAAGCCUGAUCCAGCCAUGCCGCGUGUGUGAAGAAGGCCUUCGGGUUGUAAAGUACUUUCAGCGGGGAGGCGUUACCCGCAGAAGAAGCACCGGCUAACUCCGUGCCAGCAGCCGCGGUAAUAC